AGUAAAUAGAUACCCGGGUAGUCCACGCCGUAAACGAUGAGUACUAGGUGUAGGAGGUAUCGACUCCUUCUGUGCCGCAGUUAAACACAAUAAGUACUCCGCCUGGGAAGUACGGUCGCAAGAUUAAAACUCAAAGGAAUUGACGGGGGCCCGCACAAGCAGCGGAGCAUGUGGUUUAAAAUUCGAAGCAACGCGAAGAACCAUACCUAGACUUGACAUCUCCUGAAUAGUGUAGAGAUACAUGAAGCCCUUCGGGGCAGGAAGACAGGUGGUGCAUGGUUGUCGUCAGCUCGUGUCGUGAGAUGUUGGGUUAAGUCCCGCAACGAGCGCAACCCUUAUUACUAGUUAGCUACCAUUAAGUUGAGCACUCUAGUGAGACUGCCCGGGGUUAACCCGGGGAGGAAGGCGGGGAGUGACGUCAAACUCAUCAUG
rnacentral:rRNA from 1 species